rnacentral:lncRNA from 1 species
UCUAGAUUCUAUUCUACAAGUCCAAAUGAGAUGAUUCUUUUUGCAUUGGUUUGUUUUUUUAGCUCCUCUUUUAGCAUGCAAAAUAUGAGAUUUUUGCUUGCUGUAAAUCUUUUCUGGUGUAUUUAAAAGUGUUAUGUGACAUUUUCUUUUUGCCAUUUUCAUUGUUUUCAGAGGGAACUUGCUGCCUUGAGGAGAACCAGGAGGAGUGUGAACCUCCUCUGCACUAAGGCAAGCCAUCACAAAUAUUUGCAAGAGUGUCAUUUCAAUAAGUAUGAUUUUCACUUGAAUAUGGUCCCAUAUAAUGCAUAUAGAAAAAGAUGAGAUUUUUGCUUGCUGUAAAUCUUUUCUGGUGUAUUUAAAAGUGUUAUGUGACAUUUUCUUUUUGCCAUUUUCAUUAUUUUCAGAGGGAACUUGUUGCCUUGAGGAGAACCAGGAGGAGUGUGAACCUCCUCUGCACUAAGGCAAGCCAUCACAAAUAUUUGCAAGAGUGUCAUUUCAAUAAGUAUGAUUUUCACUUGAAUAUGGUCCCAUAUAAUGCAUAUAGAAAAUUAAAUAAUAUAACUUGUGCUAGUUUCAUUUCCGUGCUAUGCUUGUAAUGUUUUCAGUGUUAUUUAAGUUGUUUGGUUAAGGUUAUGCAGUAGGGUAACAUGAUCAUGAGCACGAGUAAGUUCAUACCGGUAUUAUGUUGAAAUGGUGCAUAUAUAUAGGUCAUUGCAUUUUCAUGGCAUACUAUGACUCAGAAAUAAUUCUUUGCAAGUUGAAACCUAAUAAUAAUCCAACUUGAACAUGUUGUUGAUCGAGUCAUGGUGUCACCGAAUCGAGCUUCCCAGUGCAACCACAUGUGCCUUUAUGGGGAGGCCCUUUCUCGUUCUGUUGUUAUGCCUCUCGCCGGUGCCUCCAACUAGGGAAGGUUAUGCGCUUGCGCUACCCUGGCCUGGUAGGCAGGCAUAGCCUUGUGUGCUCGUAGUUGAUUUGGUACCAUUAUCUCCAUUUGGGAUCGUUUGUUUUGCCACGACGGUGGUCGUUGGGUGUCAUGAGGUGACAUCGGGGCCACCCAGGACUUAGCCCAAAGGGGAGUUGGUCGGAGUGGCUGGGAGAGUGUCAUGGCAAUAGAUUGGUUCUGUUGGAACGUCGUUGGUCCACCCUAAUGGGAGUUCGAGGCAAUGGGUUCUGUGGUGUAGGUAUAAUGUACUACCUAUGCAGAGUGUGUUUAAUCUAUCGAUAGAUGCAUCCUCGGUCAUGGACACAAUUCAUAGUAGGUCACACCGUGGAUCAACAGAAAUACUGAACCUGCACACUAAAGUUAUACUUGUGGCACUUGUUAUGUUGGUGGAGUUGUUGAGACCGUCAAGAUGGUUUCUUUUGUGAUCCGGAGGUGAUCACCGUGGUAAGAUGUUCAUGGUUCCGAGGUAACCAAGAUGGUAAGCGGGUCUGAGAGACUCCGUUUGCGGGCACGGUCACUUCAUGAGUAGCAUGCUUAGUUCUUGCAUUGAACCUGCUUAAAUAUCAUGUUGUUGUUUGCCAUUGUUGCUUUAUUUGUGUGAGCUUGUGAGUACAUUCAAAGUACUUACCUGGCGUGUCAUGCUAGUUUCAGGAGAAGUCAUACCGUAGUUGGAGUUGCAUCGUUGCAUCGCAGUCUAGACCGUGUCCACAUCGGUGUCCUUGUGAGAUGGAGUUCCUCUACGUCGUCGUUCCGCUGCCGCGUAGCUUUAUUGUCGUGCUCGAGGUCCCUAUCAUGUUCAUUAAAUAAUGUACAUAUGUGCAACAGCACCGUGUGUGCCGCUUGGCCUCGCUAUCUGAUGUACUAUCAAACCUAUGCUUCAAUAAAGUGGUUGUCUUUCUGUACCAAGUUAUUGUGUGUUGCCAGAAGACAUGAUCCAUGGGUUGGCAAUGCAACGUAAACCGGUUGCUCUGAGCUGGGGUGCCACAGAGUAGCACCAAAAUCAUGCCAUCCAAGCCACCGCCGAUGGGCACCACCACAACAGCAUGACAAUUCUGAUUUUGGCAAAAGUUGUCAUCAUUCCUAGACUAUUUAAGUUGUUAUAGGUGAUGAUGGUGACAUUGUUCAUUGUCCGCUAGUUUUUAGGGCCAUAUUAAAGACUUAGGGUGGUAAUACAUUCAUAGAGGACGAGUUCCUGCACUCUCACUGGGACAGAAGCAAUGAGUUCUUCAUCACCCGAUCGUCUGGCCUCAGCAGCAAGUUCAUGACCCACCUUGUUACACUCCCUAGUAGCAUGUCCGACUAGUUUUUUUUAAUACGGG